rnacentral:misc_RNA from 1 species
GAAAUGCGAUAAUUAAUGUGAAUUGCAGAAUUCAGUGAAUCAUCGAGUCUUUGAACGCACAUUGCGCCCCCUGGUAUUCCGGGGGGCAUGCCUGUCCGAGCGUCAUUGCUGCCCUCAAGCACGGCUUGUGUGUUGGGCUUCCGUCCCUGGCAACGGGGACGGGCCCAAAAGGCAGUGGCGGCACCAUGUCUGGUCCUCGAGCGGAUGGGGCUUUGUCACCCGCUCCCGUAGGUCCAGCUGGCAGCUAGCCUCGCAACCAAUCUUUUUAACCAGGUUGACCUCGGAUCAGGUAGGGAUACCCGCUGAACUUAAGC